rnacentral:rRNA from 1 species
GAUGAACGCUAGCGGCAGGCUUAACACAUGCAAGUCGAGGGGUAGCGCGGGUAGCAAUACCUGGCGACGACCGGCAAACGGGUGCGGAACACGUACUGAACCUACCUUGAUCUGGGGCAUAGCCCGAAGAAAUUCGGAUUAACUCCCCAUAAUAUAGAUGAGUGGCAUCACUUGACUAUUAAAAAUUUAUUGGAUCGAGAUGGCAGUGCGUCCCAUUAGCUAGUUGGUAGGGUAACGGCCUACCAAGGCGACGAUGGGUAGCUGGUGUGAGAGCACGACCAGCCACACGGGCACUGAGACACGGGCCCGACUCCUACGGGAGGCAGCAGUGAGGAAUAUUGGUCAAUGGACGCAAGUCUGAACCAGCCAUGCCGCGUGAAGGAUG